rnacentral:rRNA from 1 species
GCCAGACUCCUACGGGAGGCAGCAGUGGGGAAUAUUGGGCAAUGGGCGCAAGCCUGACCCAGCAACGCCGCGUGAAGGAAGAAGGCUUUCGGGUUGUAAACUUCUUUUGUCAGGGACGAAGCAAGUGACGGUACCUGACGAAUAAGCCACGGCUAACUACGUGCCAGCAGCCGCGGUAAUACGUAGGUGGCAAGCGUUAUCCGGAUUUAUUGGGUGUAAAGGGCGUGUAGGCGGGAAUGCAAGUCAGAUGUGAAAACUAUGGGCUCAACCCAUAGCCUGCAUUUGAAACUGUAUUUCUUGAGUGCUGGAGAGGCAAUCGGAAUUCCGUGUGUAGCGGUGAAAUGCGUAGAUAUACGGAGGAACACCAGUGGCGAAGGCGGGUUGCUGGACAGUAACUGACGCUGAGGCGCGAAAGCGUGGGGAGCAAACAGGAUUAGAUACCCUCGUAUU